UACGUAGGGGGGCAAGCGUUGUCCGGAAUCAUUGGGCGUAAAGCGCGUGUAGGCGGCCCGAUAAGUCCGCUGUGAAAGUCCAGGGCCCAACCCUGGGAUGCCGGUGGAUACUGUCGGGCUCGAGUCCGGAAGAGGAGUGUGGAAUUCCUGGUGUAGCGGUGAAAUGCGCAGAUAUCAGGAGGAACACCAAUGGCGAAGGCAGCACUCUGGGACGUGACUGACGCUGAGACGCGAAAGCGUGGGGAGCAAACAGG
rnacentral:rRNA from 1 species